AGUGAACGCUGGCGGUAGGCCUAACACAUGCAAGUCGAACGGCAGCACAGGAGAGCUUGCUCUCUGGGUGGCGAGUGGCGGACGGGUGAGGAAUACAUCGGAAUCUACUCUGUCGUGGGGGAUAACGUAGGGAAACUUACGCUAAUACCGCAUACGACCUACGGGUGAAAGCAGGGGACCUUCGGGCCUUGCGCGAUUGAAUGAGCCGAUGUCGGAUUAGCUAGUUGGCGGGGUAAAGGGCCACCAAGGCGACGAUCCGUAGCUGGUCUGAGAGGAUGAUCAGCCACACUGGAACUGAGACACGGUCCAGACUCCUACGGGAGGCAGCAGUGGGGAAUAUUGGACAAUGGGCGCAAGCCUGAUCCAGCCAUACCGCGUGGGUGAAGAAGGCCUUCGGGUUGUAAAGCCCUUUUGUUGGGAAAGAAAUCCAGCUGGCUAAUACCCGGUUGGGAUGACGGUACCCAAAGAAUAAGCACCGGCUAACUUCGUGCCAGCCGCCGCUAUAA
rnacentral:rRNA from 1 species